UACUUUUACAUACUUUUAUCUAUUCAUAUAGGUAAUUAUAUGUAUGUCCGCGACAUUACCCCCCCUUCUAGGGACGAGUUCCACGAGGAGCGGUGAUUAUAUAUUGAGAAAAUCUAAUAUGCGGCGAAUUGUAUUUGCUACAUACUCUGAUCUUUGUUCUCUUCGAAGAUAGUUGAUGGGUCCUCUUAGCCAUCGAUAGUGUCCCAUUCCAGGGCGAGAAGACCACCCUGUUAUUUGAUCACUAUUGAGGCCUUCAUAACUUCCUUCAAAUAAUACAUUUGAAACACCAUCAGGAGUCGUUCCUAUCUCCAAUAAUAUCACCAAACAUCGAGAAUCUCUUCCAAGGUCGUGAUACCAAACGCGUUGUAUCUCACCAUCUAUUCGAGGAAGAAC
rnacentral:lncRNA from 1 species